GUGCCAGCAGCCGCGGUAAUACGUAGGUCCCGAGCGUUGUCCGGAUUUAUUGGGCGUAAAGCGAGCGCAGGCGGUUAGAUAAGUCUGAAGUUAAAGGCUGUGGCUUAACCAUAGUACGCUUUGGAAACUGUUUAACUUGAGUGCAAGAGGGGAGAGUGGAAUUCCAUGUGUAGCGGUGAAAUGCGUAGAUAUAUGGAGGAACACCGGUGGCGAAAGCGGCUCUCUGGCUUGUAACUGACGCUGAGGCUCGAAAGCGUGGGGAGCAAACAGGAUUAGAUACCCUGGUUAGUCC
rnacentral:rRNA from 1 species